UGUGUGUGUGUGUGUGUGUGUGUGUGUGUGUGUGCCUGCCUCUAACUGAUCCAGUGGCCUCUGAGACUGUAAAGGUCCUUAAAAUUGGGUUUUGUCUUUUAUCUUCUAGGCCCAGAUGAAAGAGCAGGGGUUUUUUUUCAUUUGAAGGCUCCCUAAUGCCAUAAUAAUUACUGAUGGCUGUGGGGGGUAGUUAGUGUGUGUGUGUGUGUGUGUGUGUGUGUGUGUGUGUGUGUGUGUAUAUGUUUGAUGGAAAAGGUGGAAAAGAGAAAGGGGGGUUCCUCCUCGGUCUUGAGCAGCAUUUUGAGCAAAGGAAAUGAUUGCGGGAAAUAAGCCUGGAAAAGACAAAGGAGGGAAGCGUGGCGUUUUCCGAGUGCCGCCUCACACGGGCUUGACACGUCGCCUUAACGAUUCUCUCCUCCAGCAUCCGACCUUGCGUCUGUGAACACGAACCUCGUACCAUCAGCAGCCGUGCGCGUGAGAGGGGCAUGAAAUCGAUCCUCUGAACCACCGAACUCGGCGAGGUGGGAGAAGAGACUUCGAAGAAUGUGACAGUUGUGCAUUUUCCUCAUGGGAAUUCAAACAAAGAGGUGGAGUCAGCAUUUCCGAGUGAGAAAACACUUGAAGUUUGAGCAGCUGUCAAAUAAGGCUGUUCAAAGAAAAAAAAAAAAACAACAACAACAACAACCUGGCCUCGUUGGCAUCCCGAACCUCAUAAAACGUGACAAAAGGAAGCAAACAAUGUGGACCACCAGCAUCCAGCCAAAGAGGACAUGCAGAAAUGAGAUGCCGAGUACUUAACCACCAGCAAACAACGGUUGGGAAGAAGUGUAGGAGGGGAGAAUGAAAAACAGCAGAGAGGAAAAAAACUGAGCUCUAAAAGGAGUGAUGAUAGAGUGCUGAGGUUGUGGAUACAACAAAACACGGACAUGAAAAGUUGGUUUCUAUCACAUUUUCCCAACAAAAAAUCCCAACACACUUUUGCAUGCAAGCUGCAUAUAGUGGUGCAAGAGUUAAUCAUUCAGGACUGAGAUGUUGCUCCUGGGGCUAUUUUUGUGCCCCUGUGUGUCCAAUCAUGAUCUAAUAAACAGUUAUCAAAUGUUGGAUGGAGACCGAGCCAUGAAGACAGCUGUGUGAAGAAGCUGGACGAUGAGCACGACUUCAUAAAUCAGCUACUCAUGUAGCAUACACCGUGGACUAAAUACUAAUUCAUGACUGAUGUGAGAGCAUUCUGAAGGUGCUCAUGCAACACGUCUCUUUCUUCAGAGCAAACAGGAGCUUCUGAUCCUCAAAAGACUCCUCCAGGGAGACACACACGAGCAUGCGCGUUUACAAGCAAGUCCAGCUUCCACUUCACACGGCACACACUCAGAUCAUUUUUUUAUCUUAAUCUCUCUUUUUCAGAUUUGUUUUCAUUUCUUUUUCUCUUUUUUUUUUUUUUUUUUUACAGGUCGCUUAAACUGCUGCAGGUGAACGAGCAGGUUGUUGCGCCGGAGCUAAGGGUUGCCAGAUCUCGUACACUUUUUUUUUCUUCCCUUUGAUACCUUCCCAUCUUAAAUUCUCUCCAAAAUGA